AGAGUUUGAUCCUGGCUCAGAUUGAACGCUGGCGGCAGGCCUAACACAUGCAAGUCGAACGGUAACAGGAAGCAGCUUGCUGCUUCGCUGACGAGUGGCGGACGGGUGAGUAAUGUCUGGGAAGCUGCCUGAUGGAGGGGGAUAACUACUGGAAACGGUAGCUAAUACCGCAUAAUGUCGCAAGACCAAAGAGGGGGACCUUCGGGCCUCUUGCCAUUGGAUGUGCCCAGAUGGGAUUAGCUUGUUGGUGGGGUAACGGCUCACCAAGGCGACGAUCCCUAGCUGGUCUGAGAGGAUGACCAGCCACACUGGAACUGAGACACGGUCCAGACUCCUACGGGAGGCAGCAGAAGGG
rnacentral:rRNA from 1 species